UACGAAGGGGGCUAGCGUUGCUCGGAAUCACUGGGCGUAAAGGGUGCGUAGGCGGGUCUUUAAGUCAGGGGUGAAAUCCUGGAGCUCAACUCCAGAACUGCCUUUGAUACUGAGGAUCUUGAGUUCGGGAGAGGUGAGUGGAACUGCGAGUGUAGAGGUGAAAUUCGUAGAUAUUCGCAAGAACACCAGUGGCGAAGGCGGCUCUCUGGCCCGAUACUGACGCUGAGGCACGAAAGCGUGGGGAGCAAACAGG
rnacentral:rRNA from 1 species